rnacentral:rRNA from 1 species
GCCAGACUCCUACGGGAGGCAGCAGUGGGGAAUAUUGCACAAUGGGGGAAACCCUGAUGCAGCGACGCCGCGUGAGCGAUGAAGUAUUUCGGUAUGUAAAGCUCUAUCAGCAGGGAAGAAAAUGACGGUACCUGACUAAGAAGCCCCGGCUAACUACGUGCCAGCAGCCGCGGUAAUACGUAGGGGGCAAGCGUUAUCCGGAUUUACUGGGUGUAAAGGGAGCGUAGGCGGGCGAGAAAGUUGAAUGUUAAAUCUACCGGCUUAACUGGUAGCUGCGUUCAAAACUUCUUGUCUUGAGUGAAGUAGAGGCAGGCGGAAUUCCUAGUGCAGCGGUGAAAUGCGUAGAUAUUAGGAGGAACACCAGUGGCGAAGGCGGCCUGCUGGGCUUUAACUGACGCUGAGGCUCGAAAGCGUGGGGAGCAAACAGGAUUAGAUACCCGAGUAGGA